AGUGAAAACUCAUCAAGUGUAGUAGGAAAGCAUUAUUGGGAAAACAGAGAUUUAAAUUACCUCAGUUUCAAAGCAGCCAAGGGUGAAACUCCGAAGAAAGUUAAAAGCUAAUUGUAACAAUCAGACAAGCAAAGACAUGGACAUGGACAAUUGCCGCUUAAAUAUUAGUAGAAAAUUGCCAUUUAUAUACUCUACGCCUGUAAUGCAAAAGGUUCUUGAAUAUGGUUUUACAUAAUAUAAUAACUUUCAUGGAUCUUUAAUAUACAUUAAAGACCAAAAUACUGAUUUAAACAGGACUUAAAUGCGAAGGACUCUAGAAUAAGCUUGAAUUUGAGGUAUGUGUGUUAGUAAUAUUUUUUGGAAUACAAGACAAACCCUAUGAUGCAUAGUUAAUGUUUUUGUAAUUAAAAAUUAUGGUUUGUA